rnacentral:lncRNA from 8 species
UGGGGAGGAAGACUGUCACAGAGGGGGGAGGGGCUCACAGCAUGUCAACAGACAGAGGAUGGAUCUCUAAUGAGGGAGAAGGGAACUGUCUCUCUGAGUGUAACUUCGCAAAUGGAGUUAGUGGAUAAAUAUGGGUUGAUACAGUAUGAAUGUAGAUGCCAGCUUUAUUGGAGGCAUAUGCUAUCUGGUCUUCAGUUGUGUGGAUGUCAGCUUCUUGCAACAGUGAGGUUUCAUAAAAAAAAUGUUUUAAACCUUUAUUUAACUAGGCAAGUCAGUUAAGAACAAAUUAUUAUUUUCCAAUGAUUGCCUACCGGGGAACAGUGGGUUAACUGCCUUGUUCAGGGGCAAAACUACAGAUGUUACCUUGUCAGCUCAGAGAUUCGAUCCAGCAACCUUUCAGUGACAGGCCCAAAGCUCUAACCACUAGGCUACCUGCUGCCAUGGUAUGUGCUAGGUGUAAUGUAAAUGUCAUGUAAUGUAAAGGCUAUGACAUUCAUCAGUUUGAGUAGAUACCCUUUGGACUAAGUAAUUGUCCAUCAAAUAUCUAGCUCCUGUGCACAAGUUAAAUGCAGCUUCUAAUCCUUAUUUAGCAUAUAGUGUCAUGACAUCCAAAACAACUGCAACUGCUUUUUUAAGGCUUUCUCAUUGUGUGGCUGAAAUUAGAGCCAUGAUUGAAUGUGCUGUGUGUCCAGUAUUGCUGUUCACGGCUUAGCCCAGGGUACAACAGCAGCGGGACAUCUCAGUCCCACACAUUACACCAGCUUAACUAUCUGUCAACAACUGGCAUUGAACAGCCAGCCGGCCACAAUAAGGGAAGGUGCUUUAGUGGUGUCGACAGCAGAAACAGAUGAUGCAGCACAACAGAGAGAUAUAGUUAGCCACAGGAGAAUAAAAAAAUCACAAUGAGGGACAACAGCCAACGAUAACAAGGAACAAGCCAGACUCCACAGUAAAUGGAAGAGCUGAUGGGGAUUGGCUGGUGUGGUUUCCUGCAGACAAGGGAAACUGCAACCAGCAAUGAUGGAGUUAGAUCAGAAGGAGUCUGUGCGGUGGAUGAGAAGACACAGCCAGAGUCUCCUUCAGAAUCUCUUCUACAAGGGUGUUCAAGCUGGGGACAGAGACACACCUGUAAGUGCAUAUGUCAAGGGGGUGGAAAAAUGUGUCUCUGUAUUUAUCUUAAUAAAUGCUUAAUAAGUGCUAGAGGGGGUCACUACAGACCCUGGUUCGAUUUCAGGCUGUAUCACAACCGGCUGUGAUUGGGAGUCCCAUAGGUGUCACGUCCUGGCCAGUAUAAGGGUUAAUUGUCAUUUUAGUUUGGUCAGGACGUGGCAGAGGGUAUUUGUUUUAUGUGGUUCAGGGUGGUGUGUUAGUUAAGAGGGCGUUUGAUUUAUUAUUCCGGGGUUUUUGGGCACUGUUCCUUGUUUACGUAUUUCUAUGUUGAUCUAGUUAGUUGUAUGUCUAUGUUUGGUUAAUUGGGGUGGACUUCCAAUUGAAGGCAGCUGUGUGGUGUUGCCUUUGAUUGGAAGUCCUAUAUUAGUUGGGUGUGUUUGUCUGUUUAAUUGUGGGAGAUUGUUCUGUGUUUAGCCUUGUGCCUUGUCAGACUGUCUGUUAAUCGUUCGUUCUCUUGUUUUGUUAUUUUGGUGUUCAUUUUGGAAGUUAAUAAACGUCAAGAUGAGCUUACACAUACCUGCUGCGUUUUGGUCCUCCAUUACCGACGAAAACUGUGACAAUAGGGUGGCGCACAAUUUGGCCCAGCGUCAUCCGGGUUAGGGUUUGGGUGGGGUAGGCCGUCAUUUUAAAUAAGAAUUUGUUCUUAACUGACUUGCCUAGUUAAAUAAAGGUUAAAUAAGAUGGAAAAAUCUUGACCUGACAUGUAUGUGAUUUCUCCAUCUUCCUACAGAUACCAGCACAAUAUGGAACUGCUAAUAAGACUGUAGCUGCCAGCAUCAUCAGUGGGAAGAGCAAGCUUCUUCUGCUGGAAAGCCCUGACACUGUGGAAAUCUACGGUGUAUGUGACAAUAAAACAGAUACAUUUUUAAAAAAAUAUUCUGUAUUUACUGUCUUAUUCUCAUUAUGACGGACCAGGUCAUAAGUCAGACUGUUUUUCCAGUUUUGAAGGUGCAUGUCUGAAAGAUUCAAAUCCAGUCUACCGUAAGGAGUGUAAGGGCAUAUAACCAAAAUAUGUCAAAGCACUUCAAAUAAUCAAACAUCCUUUCCACACUAAUUAUAGUCAAAAUACUCACUCUGGUCUCUUGGUUUGUUUCAGCUUUCACCAUAACAGGU